GGCUGGGUAAUUUAUGAAGAAAAGAAGUUCAUUUGACUCACAGCUCUGCAGACUGUAAGAAGCAUGGUGCCAGCAUGUGCUUCCGGUGAGGGCCUCAGAUUGCUUUACUCUUGGUGAAAGGGGAAGGAGAGCAAGCAUCCAAUGGCAAUAGAGGAAAAAACAGAGAGGGGAGGGGGUGCCAGGCUCUUUUUAACAAUCAGAUGUUGUGGGGACUGAUAGAGAGGGAAGUCACUCAUUGCUCUGAGGAUGGCACCAAGCCUUUCAAGAGGGAUCUGCUCCCACGACUGAAAUAUCUCCCAGCAGACCCCAACUCCAAAACUGGGGAUCACAUUUCAAUAUGAGAUUUGGAGGGACUAACAUAGAGACUAUAUCAGCCCCCAUUUAUCUGUAAUCCUUCUCUUUCUUUAAUAGAAGUUGGAGAGCUAAAAUUGUAGCCAUCUCAACAUCCUUUGCAACUAGGGAGAAUGUAGACAAGACCCCAGGAGCUGCAGCAGUCAUCUGCUCACACUGAAGUUCGUAGAACUAAAAGACGGAAGGAGCCUGGGAUGCUGAUGAAAUUGUGAAGCUACUGACACAAGCCCUGGACUGCCUAUCUCUGGACUCUACUGGAUGGGUCCACAUGGCAAGGAACCAAGGGUAGCCUCUGGCCAGCAACCAGAGAAGAUAAAGAUCUCCAACAACGUCUGCGUUUGGAAGAGGAUUGUUCUUCCGUAGAGUUUUCUGAUGAGGCCCCAGCCUUGGCAACAUCUUGACUGUCUCCUUGUAAAGGGACCUUGAGACAGAGGACUCAGCUCAGCCGUGCCAGACUCCUGACUCACAGAAACAGUGAGAUUAUAAAAACAAACUGUUUUAAGCCACUAAGUUUUGAGUAAUUUGUCACACAGUAGAUAAUAAACUUCCAUAGA
rnacentral:lncRNA from 1 species